rnacentral:tRNA from 1 species
GUCUGCAUAGUGUAGCGGUUAUCACGUUUGUCUUACAUCUUGCAAUGUCAGGACACAAAAGGUCCCAGGUUCGAUCCCUGGUGCAGACA